rnacentral:tRNA from 1 species
AGGGGAGACAACAAAAUGUUUAAUAUUAUUAUUUUUGUCACCUUAGGUCGAUCGGUAUCUCACGUUCUUAAUUACUAAGAAUUUCAUUUCCUAAGUUUUUCUAGGUCACACCCAUUUUUUUCCUGGGCCAUUAGCUCAGGUGGUUAGAGCGACCCCUGAUAAGGGUGAGGUCCCUUGUUUCAAGUCAGGAUGGCCCAUAUCUCUAUGUUGGGGGUAUAGCUCAGUUGGUAGAGCGCCUGCUUUGCAAGCAGGAUGUCAGCGGUUCGAGUCCGCUUACCUCCACUGAUUACCACCUCUUCCAUAAUACUUAGAAAGGAAAAAUUUUGAGUUGUGAUCAUAAUUCUGAACGAAUCUAGCUUCCUAAUGAAAUCAUUAAGAUGCUGGACUCAUUGAAUUAAUUUCAUUGUUUUCAGAGAACCUUGACAACUGCAUAGAUUAUUUUUAAAGACAAUAAGCAUCUUUAAUGAUGCAGAUUUAUUAUUUGUGCAAAUGCAUUAAUAACAAUUCUAUUAAGCUGAUGCUUCA